GUGGGGAAUAUUGGACAAUGGGCGAAAGCCUGAUCCAGCCAUGCCGCGUGUGUGAAAAAGGUCUUCGGAUUGUAAAGCACUUUAAGUUGGGAGGAAGGGCAGUAAGUUAAUACCUUGCUGUUUUGACGUUACCGACAGAAUAAGCACCGGCUAACUUCGUGCCAGCAGCCGCGGUAAUACGAAGGGUGCAAGCGUUAAUCGGAAUUACUGGGCGUAAAGCGCGCGUAGGUGGUUUUGUAAGUUGGAGGUGAAAUCCCCGGGCUCAACCUGGGAACUGCCUCCAAAACUGCAUGACUAGAGUACGGUAGAGGGUAGUGGAAUUUCCUGUGUAGCGGUGAAAUGCGUAGAUAUAGGAAGGAACACCAGUGGCGAAGGCGACUACCUGGACUGAUACUGACACUGAGGUGCGAAAGCGUGGGGAGCAAACAGGAUUAGAUACCCGGGUAGUCC
rnacentral:rRNA from 1 species